rnacentral:rRNA from 1 species
GCAAGUCGAGCGGUAGAAAGUAGCUUUCUACUUUUGAGAGCGGCGGACGGGUGAGUAAUGCGCGGGAAUCUACCUGGUAGUGGGGGACAACAGGUGGAAACGACUGCAAUACCGCAUACGCACUACGGGGGAAAGCGGGGGAUCUUCGGUCCUCGUGCUAUCAGAUGAGCCCGCGUAAGAUUAGCUUGUUGGUGGGGUAAUGGCCUACCAAGGCGACGAUCUCUAGCUGGUCUGAGAGGAUGAUC